rnacentral:rRNA from 1 species
AAUGAACGCUGGCGGCGCGCCUAAUACAUGCAAGUCGAGCGAGAAGACGUAGCAAUACGUUUGUAAAGCGGCGAACGGGUGAGGAAUACAUGGGUAACCUACCCUCGAGUGGGGAAUAACUAGCCGAAAGGUUAGCUAAUACCGCGUACGCUCCUUGGACUUCGGUUCAGGGAGGAAAGCGAUACCGUGGGUAUCGCGCUCUUGGUUGGGCUCAUGUCCUAUCAGCUUGUUGGUGAGGAACGGCUCACCAAGGCUUCGACGGGUAGCUGGUCUGAGAGGACGAUCAGCCACACUGGCACUGCGACACGGGCCAGACUCCUACGGGAGGCAGCAGUAAGGAAUAUUGCGCAAUGGGCGAAAGCCUGACGCAGCGACGCCGCGUGGGGGAUGAAGGUCUUCGGAUUGUAAACCCCUUUCGGGAGGGAAGAUGGAACGAGCAAUCGUUCGGACGGUACCUCCAGAAGCAGCCACGGCUAACUUCGUGCCAGCAGCCGCGGUAAU